GACCUUCAAGAGCAUCACUGGAGUUGUCACGUGCCCAUUGAUGGGCAUGAAGACCUGCUGAGCUGCCAUGAUGAGCGAGGACGACCAAGCCCCGUCGACAGCUGCUGAGGUGGAAAUGGCCGCGACUCAACUACUUGGAGGACGGAGGUCAUUGAAAGAGGGCGAUGCAGCUCAGGCGGCAACCUCGACUGAGAGGCGGCAGGCUGCGGGGGAUGCCUGGAGGCAGCUGCCAAGGGGAACAGAGGGCCGGAGGACCUAAAGACCACGGACGGAGCAUUGUGGACUCCCUCAUCGGACCACUCAUCACACUUAAGCUGACCCGUCUCUACCCACGGGGACAGGCCUGCUGCACAUACCCGUUCGCGACGUUUUUUAGUUAA